rnacentral:rRNA from 1 species
CACGUAGGGGGCAAGCGUUGUCCGGAUUUAUUGGGCGUAAAGAGCGUGUAGGCGGCCGGACAGGUCCGCUGUGAAAACUCGAGGCUCAACCUCGAGAUGUCGGUGGAAACCGUCUGGCUAGAGUCCGGAAGAGGAGAGUGGAAUUCCUGGUGUAGCGGUGAAAUGCGCAGAUAUCAGGAAGAACACCCGUGGCGAAGGCGGCUCUCUGGGACGGUACUGACGCUGAGACGCGAAAGCGUGGGGAGCGAACAGG